rnacentral:rRNA from 1 species
AGGACGAACGCUGGCGGCGUGCUUAACACAUGCAAGUCGAGCGGAAAGGCCCUUCGGGGUACUCGAGCGGCGAACGGGUGAGUAACACGUGAGCAACCUGCCCUUAGCUCUGGGAUAGCUCCGGGAAACCGGAAUUAAUACCGGAUAUGACCUAGGCCGACAUCGGCCGUGGUGGAAAGUUUUUCGGCUAGGGAUGGACUCGCGGCCUAUCAGCUAGUUGGUGGGGUAAUGGCCUACCAAGGCGACGACGGGUAGCCGGCCUGAGAGGGCGACCGGCCACACUGGGACUGAGACACGGCCCAGACUCCUACGGGAGGCAGCAGUGGGGAAUCUUGCGCAAUGCGCGAAAGCGUGACGCAGCAACGCCGCGUGAGGGAAGAAGGCCUUCGGGUUGUAAACCUCUUUCAGGAGGGACGAAGGUUCAGGCGCGAAUAGCGUCCUGGACUGACGGUACCUCCAGAAGAAGCCCCGGCUAACUACGUGCCAGCAGCCGCGGUAA